UGCAACAUAGGGUCAUGACUUCUUUGAUUGUGCCAAUCUGUCAGUAAUUUGAUCUUCUCUUUCUGUACUGCUUUCUACUUUAUCUAGCAUUAUUACCCUUUCCAGUGAGUCAUGCUAUGAUACAUUCAAUCAUGACUUCAGUUUAGUCUAAACCAGACUACUUUGUUCAUAUCUAUCUGUUCUAUCAUCAGUCUAUCUUUCUGUCUCUCCAAAUAGAUCCCAUAUUCCCCAUUAGUUCAAUAGAAAUAAAUUGAAGCCUAUUUAGAUAAAUGCAUGGGAGUUCAUAAGGAUAACAUCUGGAUAUUUACAUCAAAAGAUGGCACAUAUAAGUAGAUCAAAUAGAUUUUCUUCUCAUAAAAUUCUGUCUCAGUUUUGUCUCAACUGAGUAAUGACAUCAGGCAGGCUCAUUCAUUAAAAUGAAUGGAAGGCUCCAAAACAAAAAUGUUUAUAACCUUUUGAAGUAAGUGAUACGAUAGACAUUGCCAUCUAAAGAGUUUACCCAUAAGAUCAUCAAGAUAUGCCCCUCAAUGGCAGAAAUUUAAAAGUUUUUAAUGCAAAGUAUUUGGAUAGCUCUUUUGACUUGAUAUAUAUGUAUUUAAAUGAGAAAAUGAAUUCUUCACUAAUUUUAUUCUUGUAAGAAGCAACAAGUAAUUCUGACAAUUUUCUUUCUUCUGUAAAAGUAUUUUUUAAAAGAUUGUUUAUAGUUUGGGAUUUCUUUAUAAAAAUAAUGUGUGUUAUGUUUGUGAAGAGAACAGGUGAUUCUGAAAAUGCUGUAGUUGUUCUGCACAAAUCUAAAUUAUAUAUGGAUUGUUGUGUGCAGAAAACGUGGGGGGGGGGGUUUGUAUAGAAAACAAUACAAUUUUCUGCACAGAAAAUGUGACUUCCUGCAGAAGAAGGUAACGUGUCUAGAAAGCACCAGAUUGAAGAAGGAUAAAAUGGCUCUACUAUUAAAGCCUAGUCAUUGAGAAUGUAGCUGCCAGAAUAUUUAAGCAAUAGGCUAUUUAAGCAAUAGUCCAAAAACAAUAUACUAUUUAAGCUAUAGUUCAAACAUGAGUAUUCUUAACAGUGGAAAAAUUGUGAGAACAUAGACAUAUUCCAGAACAGUACAAUCUACCACUGUUUAUGUUCAAUACAUACAUUGUGCAUUUUGUUUUUCUUAUAUAAUUUUAUACUCUUUGUCCAAGAAGUUAUUUCCAUGAAAUGAGUUGGCAAGUUGCUUAAGCAUUUGUAGUGGCAUAAUCUAUACCAGUUUUCAGUACAGCUGAAAUAUCUUUCUUUGUGCAUAAAAUGGGAAAAAUGUACUUCACAUAAAGCAGUGUAUGUUCUGGAUCCAGAUGUUGUCCAGAUAGUUCCAAAAAUAAAAUAAAUGUCAUUUGACUUAGAAGGAAAUUCAGUUAAUUAACUGAGAGUAAUUUACAAACAAGUGUUUUGAGGACAUUGUUUCCUUCAGGACAAAAGGCAAUAAAUAUUAUUUAUUGAUUUGAAAAUCUGGCUUAUUUUAACCUAACUCUGCUCGCUGCUUGCAUUAAUGUAUAUCUUUUUCAAUCUGUUUUUAGAUACUAGCUAAUGAAUCUCCACAAUCCCUCGGAGAAUUGAGGAGGCUGAAAUUUUCAUAGCUGUCUGUGAUUAAUGAAGUGUAGUUGUCAAAAUAUGUAGGCUAUGAGAGAGCGGUAAGACUGGAGGGGCUGGGACACUGAGCAUGUAUUGCUCUUGUUUUUCUUUUCUUUUUUUAGACUCGUGUUAAAUAUUACUUGUUAGUUUGGUUUCUCAUUUAUAAACAGUAACAAUUUCUGUGAAAACAUAUACUUUUGUUAUAUUUGUUCUAUAUGCAAAACUGCUCUCCUGCAUACACUGGGAUGGUAAAAUAGAGAAGGAACACGAUUAGAGGGAGCUCUAAAGAUGAAUGCCAAAAAUCAUCUUUCUUUUUGAAAGAAUGCACAACUCUCAAUACCACUUCCCAGCAACUAGCACAGAUCAAGAUUAGAGCAUUUACACUGUAGAAUUAAUGCAGUUUGACACCAUUCAAAACUAUGAAUCCUGGAAGUUGUAGUUUUACAACAUUUUGAGCAUUCUCUGACAAUUAAUGCUGGUGCAUCACCAAACUACAGCUUCUCCAAUUCCAUAGUAGUCAGCCAUGUCAGUAUAAAGCGGUAUCAAACUGCAUUAAUUCUUCAGUAUUGAUGCAUCCAGUGUCUCACUUCCUUAUUUCCAGUAAAAUAUUACUACUUUGGGAAUAAUGAGAGGAGGAGAUAGUGGGAGAGGAGGAGAAUCCCACCCCCGAUGUCACUUGAGUGCCACCGCACCAUCACAGAACUGGAACAACCUCAUCUAACCAAAUCCUGGCACCAGUGGAAGAGAAAAAAACAAUCCUCUGCUCUACAUUGCUCCAAAGGAAAACCACACAGGAGCUUAUUGUACGUGGGUAAUGAACCUAUAUACAUACUCCAAGUUUCCUGUUCCUGGCGGCUAAGCCGAGCCGCAACUCCCAUUUCAAACCGGAGUAAAUUCACUUCCUUGCCUUGUUCCUGAAUCAAGAUUGGUUUUAACGUCGUCUCAUUCCUGCCUGGAUAUCAAAGACUUCCUAGUGACUUUGGACCUUGUUAUUCACUCUUGCUCACUGUUUGUUUUUCCCCGCUCAAGAACUUUCCAACAGUUUUGACUGUGUUUCAGUUUCUGGACUUUGGACAAUAAUAUUGGACCUUUCUCUUCAACUCUUUGGACUAAUUCAUACCUUUUCAUAAAGGACUAUUGCUCACUCAUCCUUUCCAUUUAUUCAUUCCUGAAUUUAUAAUUGUUUUAAUAAAGAUAUUAUAAGAUUA